UAUCUCUGUAGAGUCUGCAUAUCAAUAAGCGGAGGAAAAGAAACUAACUAGGAUUCCCUUAGUAACGGCGAGUGAAGCGGGAAGAGCUCAAAUUUGAAAUCUUCAAGGUUUUACCUUGACGAAUUGUAGUUUAAAGAAGUGUUUUCUGUUGGUGUUUUGGUAAAAGUUCUUUGGAAUAGGACAUCAUAGAGGGUGAGAAUCCCGUAUUUGACCAUUACUUCCAGCGUUGUGAUACACUUUCAAAGAGUCGGAUUGUUUGGGAAUGCAGUCCAAAAUGGGCGGUAAAUUUCAUCUAAAGCUAAAUAUUGGCGAGAGACCGAUAGCGAACAAGUACCGUGAGGGAAAGAUGAAAAGAACUUUGAAAAGAGAGUUAAACAGUACGUGAAAUUGUCAAAAGGGAAGCGUUUGACACCAGUGUUGUUUUCUCGAAAAUCAAUUAAAAAAGGCAGGAUUUUGUGUUGUAUUGACUUUAUCAGCUUUCUGCACUCUUUUCUUGUCUUUUUUAAUGCACUUUUCGUUCAACAAGUCAACAUCAAUUUCUUUUGUUGUAAAAGGGUCAUUGGAAGGUGGCUUUCUUUUCGGAGAAAGUGUUUAUAGCCUUUGACCUCUGCAAUCGGAGAGAUUGAGGUCUGCAGCGUAGAUCCUUCGGGGUUAGAUACAUUUGUGCUAAGUUAUAGCCUUUCAUAGACAACUUGUUGACUAUGAUCAGUCAUGUAGCUUACUCGCUUAUGCUAUUUUACCUACGCUUAGGAUGUUGACGAUCAGCUGAGCGCG
rnacentral:rRNA from 1 species